CGUGGCUGGAGAGAGGGAGCUGGGAGCAAGGCUGGGGCUAAGCCUCCAUCCGCUCAGGAGUCGGGAAGACAAGGGAGAGGCAGAGGGAAGACGGCAGUCCUGGUGCCCUGGACAGACCUGAAGGUGUCUGCUCCGUAGUCCGCCUAAAUGAAAGCGGCUUUCUCGGCAACACCAGGUACGUGAGCAGAGAGCUGGACUGGGAAUGGCGCAGCCUGGACACGAACCGGCGCUCAGGUGGGAUGCUGGUGCCGUAACUCACAGCGCUCCGUGCCAACAAGGUCUCUGGCUCUUGGCAAUGAAGCGGGAGGCGUUGAUUAACUUGCUCCUGGAAAUCCACCAGGAUGUGAUGGGAUUUGAAAACUGUUCCUGAAAAAAAAAAAAAAAAGCAGAAAU